AUUCUGUACCGCACAAAUAGCAAGAGUUUACAAUUACAGAAGGCACUUACUACGAUUCCACCCACAUGAAAAGGAUCCAGAAGUACUGGACUUAAUAAAGUCAUUUUGCUUACCUGUGACAAACAAAAUACUUCCUGUAGGAAAUAACAGGAUCUAGAAGUCCAAGACUCAGUAACAUCAUUUUUUAUAUCUACGAAAAACAAAAUAUUUCCUGUAG